rnacentral:rRNA from 1 species
CAGCCGCCGCGGGAAAACAGAGGGUGCGAGCGUUAAUCGGAUUUACUGGGCGUAAAGCGUGCGUAGGCGGCUAAUUGAGUCGGAUGUGAAAUCCCCGAGCUUAACUUGGGAAUUGCAUUCGAUACUGGUUAGCUAGAGUGUGGGAGAGGAUGGUAGAAUUCCAGGUGUAGCGGUGAAAUGCGUAGAGAUCUGGAGGAAUACCGAUGGCGAAGGCAGCCAUCUGGCCUAACACUGACGCUGAGGUACGAAAGCAUGGGGAGCAAACAGGAUUAGAUACCCGAGUAGUCCCUGUCUCUUAUAC